rnacentral:rRNA from 1 species
UACGUAGGGUGCUAGCGUUGUUCGGAAUUACUGGGCGUAAAGCGCACGUAGGCGGCUUUGUAAGUUAGAGGUGAAAGCCCGGGGCUCAACUCCGGAACUGCCUUUAAGACUGCAUCGCUUGAAUCAUGGAGAGGUUAGUGGAAUUCCGAGUGUAGAGGUGAAAUUCGUAGAUAUUCGGAAGAACACCAGUGGCGAAGGCGACUAACUGGACAUGUAUUGACGCUGAGGUGCGAAAGCGUGGGGAGCAAACAGG